rnacentral:rRNA from 1 species
GGGGAAUUUUGCGCAAUGGGGGAAACCCUGACGCAGCAACGCCGCGUGAGUGAUGAAGGCCUUCGGGUCGUAAAGCUCUGUCAGAGGGAAAGAAGUGCGAGAGGGUUAAUACCCCUUUAGCUUGACGGUACCCUCAAAGGAAGCACCGGCUAACUCCGUGCCAGCAGCCGCGGUAAUACGGAGGGUGCGAGCGUUGUUCGGAAUUAUUGGGCGUAAAGCGCGUGUAGGCGGUCUUUUAAGUCUGAUGUGAAAGCCCCGGGCUCAACCUGGGAAGUGCAUUGGAAACUGGGAGACUUGAAUACGGGAGAGGGUAGUGGAAUUCCUAGUGUAGGAGUGAAAUCCGUAGAUAUUAGGAGGAACACCGGUGGCGAAGGCGGCUACCUGGACCGAUAUUGACGC